AUGCUUGCUUCUUAGCACCCAUACUAAAAUCAGAACAAGACAGAGAAGAUUAAUGUGGCUCCUGCACAAGGAUGACAUGCAAAUUUGUGAAGCGUUCCAUGUUUAA
ensembl:snRNA U6 U6 spliceosomal RNA